rnacentral:rRNA from 1 species
GUCGAACGCGAAAGGGGCUUCGGCCCUGAGUAGAGUGGCGAACGGGUGAGUAACACGUGGGUGAUCUACCUCUGAGUGGGGGAUAACGUUCCGAAAGGAGCGCUAAUACCGCAUGACGUUCCGGGUUUGAAGACCGGGAAACCAAAGCCGGGGACCGCAAGGCCUGGUGCUUGGAGAGGAGCCCGCGCCUGAUUAGCUAGUUGGCGGGGUAAUGGCCCACCAAGGCGACGAUCAGUAGCCGGCCUGAGAGGGCGGACGGCCACACUGGGACUGAGACACGGCCCAGACUCCUACGGGAGGCAGCAGUGGGGAAUUGUUCGCAAUGGGCGCAAGCCUGACGACGCAACGCCGCGUGGAGGAUGAAGGUCUUCGGAUUGUAAACUCCUGUUGAUCGGGACGAAUGGGCUCCGGGUGAAUAGGCCGGAGCCGUGACGGUACCGAUUGAGGAAGCCACGGCUAACUCUGUGCCAGCAGCCGCGGUAAUACAGAGGUGGCAAGCGUUGUUCGGAAUUACUGGGCGUAAAGGGCGCGUAGGCGGCCUUGUCAGUCAGACGUGAAAUCCCCAGGCUUAACUUGGGAACGGCGUCUGAUACUACAAGGCUGGAGUUCGGGAGAGGGAUGUGGAAUUCCAGGUGUAGCGGUGAAAUGCGUAGAUAUCUGGAGGAACACCGGUGGCGAAGGCGGCAUCCUGGACCGAAACUGACGCUGAGGCGCGAAAGCCAGGGGAGCAAACGGGAUUAGAUACCCCGGUAGUCCUGGCCUAAACGAUGAGUGCUUUGGUGUGGCGGGUAU